AUGUUCCUGCUGGAGAAAAGGCCUUCCCUGAAUGACCGUCUCUGCCUUCUUCUCACCUUCUGCUCUGUUUGUGGCACCUACCCCAUCUGGGAUCUGCUGUGCAUGUCUAGGCUUCAGAUAAUCUGCCUGUGCUGGACAGUGGGAGGUUCGGAGUUGAAGGUCUGGAAUGACGAACCUCACAAGAAUGGGACGUGCACGCACCUAUGCAAAGGCUCUGACUUUUUCCCAGGUGUCUCUGACGCAAGUCCAUUGUGCUCCAGCCCAACUAAUGGAGGGAUUUAUUUCUCACACUUAGGGGAACUCCUUGGACCUCCUGCUCCCAGCACCCACACACCCAUCCUCUCCUUUAACUGUCCUAGCAGCUUUCCCACCAGGGAAUGGAGCAUCAUCGGGGCGGGCAGCUCAGGAUGGGGCGGCUUAGGGCGGAGGAAUAAAGAGCAGCAGGCCCAGGGACCUCUUCCUCCCACCCACCCCUUGAGGCAGCCGUGAUCUUCCCAUGCCCUUGGCAGGAGGGGCGAGAAAGUGCACAUCCAGCAAAUAUCCUCAGCUGAUGACCCAGGCUUGCCCAGUCUAUUUAAUGUUCCCAAGGAACGCGCUGCCAGGACAUGCUUCCCUUAUGGCAGCCAUGGAAGAGUGAAGAACAAUGGCCCUAUCUGUGGCUCCCACAUCACCUUUGCAAAGGAGAAGCUGGUGACAACUGAAUGCUGGGAGGCAAAAGUAACUCACAAAGUUGAGCUCAGAGCUAAUUUGCAGCAGAAGGUAAAGAUUAUGCAGCAUCUGACCCAAGAGAGAAUAGGCAAAGCUGGCUCUACCAGUCCCAAGAAAACUUCUCUGAUGUGCGGAGCUGCAGACUGACCUGCUUGCUGCAGUGUGUGUCCACCCCCAGACUACCCUGUUAUCAAACCAACGUUUCACAAUUCUCUAGGCUUUUUCCUCCUGUGGUUGUGACAAAGCGAACUCUGGCAUGCGUCAGCCAGGAAAAGCACCCACAAGCCACGCUGUCCUUACUAGGGGAACUUCUUGGGUCUCUCCAUUCACACCAGGACCAGGAAAAAAUGAGUCUGGUGCCUUCCCAAAGGCCUCGUCUACACUAGAAAAGGUUUGCCAGUAGAGCUAUCCAUACCAGUAAACCCUCGUAGUGUUAUGGAGCUAAUGCUGGUUGAAAAUAUUCCUAUGGAAUGUUUUUCCAUUAGAAAAUGCUGUUUCAUUUAUAUCGGGGUGGCCACAGAGCCCCCCCACACCACCCACCAUUCUCCAUCUAACAGACUGGGGGGAGGUUGGGGUUCCUGCCCUGCAGCAGUGGUGGGGCUAGGGGCUUCUGCCCCAUGGGGAGGGGAGACUGCAGUCGGGGCCUCAGCCCCACUGGGCACGCCUGCUGGGGCACGGGGCUUCAGCACGAGCAGGGCUGAAGCCCCUGCAGGCACACUCUGUCUCUCAAACUUCAGAAGAUUGUCGUAUGCGGCUCGGAGGGUCAGAAAGUUUGGCCACCCCUGAUUUAUAUGGAAACAUGCUCAUUUUGAUGAAAUGUUGUGGCAGGGGGGGAAUAAAGCAUUUCAAUAAGGUUGAAACA
ensembl:lncRNA